UUCAUUGCAUUUUACCGUGUGGCCCCGCCAGAUUAGGAAGAGCGUAUGAGGGUCUUGUUGUGUUGCUGACGAAGAUUUUGAUUUGUAGAGAAUGGCAGUGGUGACUAAAAUUAGAAGGAGUAAGGAGGCAAACAAGGAGGAACUCUUCGAGGAAGCCGAGAAUGUCUAUCUGGCAGGUGGAGGAGGACUAGUUAGUGUUGGAGGGGGAGUGGUGGUUGGUGGAACUGUAGUCACAAAGUAGGUAGGAGGGGUUAUUGAU
rnacentral:lncRNA from 1 species